AGACAGAUGACAAGCAGAAGCAGAAACAGGAGUGCUAGUCCAGCAGUCCCUCCAGAGGCAAUGAUGAGGACCAUAGAUGCUGAGGAAAAGGGAAGUGGAAGCAGGCAGAGUGGUUGACUGCUGGCGUAGUCUCAGUUCUGUUGGACCCAGAGAAGUCCAGAUAGAAGAGGCCUCCAGGAUACUGUGGAUGAAUGGAGCAGAUGAUGGAGAAGCUGUGGCCCCUGAUCACCUCUGGCCCCUGAAGGUCCCAGAACAUCCCUCCAUUUGGAGCACUGAGAGAGAUGUUGGGCUGUAUCAGGACCACUUGGAAGAAAGUAAACAGCAAUAUGACUGUAAUGUGAUUCCAUAUUCACACCUUGAGACUGAGAAAACUGAGAAAGGUGUGUAUGAUGGACAAGGUAAUCAGUCUCUCAUCUCUAUCAAGGCUAUGAAUCUUAAAUAUAUAGAUAUAGAUUAGGCAGCACUUGUUUCCCAACUACCACCUCACCUUUAGUAACGUUGCUGUAAGGGGAGCUGAUGUCUUGACUGUUGGAGAGGGUUCUGUAGAGACAGCUGUAACUGCCCUGGUGUGAAUCGUCCAUCUUAAACUUUGCUAAAGUAGCCCUGGGCUGUGAGGAGCCAACGGUCACAUUCAUAACCGAGUCUCCAUUCAGAUAGAAGAUGAAUUCCACAGCAUUACAGAGGAUACGGGAUGGAAGAGUGCAGGUGAGUUGGACCUCCUCUCCAUGCAAGAAGGCAGAAUAGGACGGGUCUGUGGAGAGUGAAGGCUUCUGCAAGACAACACCUG